rnacentral:lncRNA from 1 species
AGGAAACUGAGGCAAAUGGGGUAAAGUGACUUGCCCAGACUCACACAGCUAGAAAGUAUCUGUGGCCAGAUUUGAAACUUCAUUUCAUCAUCUAGCUGGCACAUACAUAGUAAUUUAUGGAAACAUCCCCUUCUCUCUCU